CGGUCGGUUUGGGGUUAUCCAUCCUACGGCACAAUGUGCGAGAGACAUUUGUCUCUGACGCGCUUUCUCCGUCGAAGAUUCCUUCUUUGAUCGAUCAAAGAGAGAAGAGAAUCUCUGUGAGAUAUAUACACAGAGGAAAGAGACAAAAAUCCUUUUGAUCUCCAAAACAGAGAAUAAUUCUCUUCAUACACAGAGACACAGAGAUGCAAACCAUCUCCAAAGCUUCUUCUGCUAUCUCCUUCUUUCGAUGUUCCAGGAAGCUAACAAGUGAGCCAUGUGUGAGGCAGCUUCACAUCCGAAAGGGUCUCGUCUGCAGAGUCAUGAAGCUUGUCUCUUCACCUCUUAGGACUCUCCGCGGUGCUGGCAAAUCUAUUCGAGUCUCCAGUUUCUGCAGUGUCUCCUCCAAUCCCUCCUCAUUGCAGAUUGAGAUGGUGCCUUGUCUUAAAGACAACUACGCUUACAUUUUGCAUGAUGAGGAUACUGGCACAGUUGGGGUGGUUGACCCUUCUGAAGCUGAACCUGUGAUUGAUUCUUUGCAGAGGAGUGGUCGUAACCUAACGUAUAUAUUGAAUACGCAUCAUCAUUAUGAUCAUACUGGUGGGAAUCUUGAAUUGAAAGACAGGUACGGUGCAAAGGUGAUUGGCUCAGCUUUAGAUAGAGAUCGGAUACCUGGGAUUGAUAUAGCCUUGAAGGAUGGUGAAAAGUGGAUGUUUGCUGGUCAUGAAGUCCAUGUUAUGGAUACUCCUGGCCACACAAAAGGCCAUAUCAGUUUAUACUUUCCAGGAUCAAGAGCUAUCUUCUCUGGGGACACCUUGUUUAGCUUAUCAUGUGGUAAACUCUUUGAAGGUACCCCUAAGCAGAUGCUUGCUUCUCUCAAAAAGAUCAUAUCUUUACCAGAUGACACAAGCAUAUACUGUGGUCAUGAAUACACACUGAGUAACUCCAAGUUUGCAUUGUCUAUAGAGCCAAACAACGAAGUACUUCAGUCUAGCACUGUCAAAUGGUCACCCGGCCCAUGGGCUUGACCAGUCCAAACUGUAAUGGGCGGCCCAUGGUUACAACCAAAUCACAAAUGGUCCAACUGGGCCUAAAACCCAUUUCACCCAUGGACAAUUUGGUCCUGCCCAAAUGGGCUUCGGUCUGCCCAAAUGGUUUUUUAUUUUAUUUUGGGCCUAAAAUCACUAUGAUUUUUCUUCUCGCCUUCUCGUCUGAGUCGUCUCGAUGACGAUUCUUCUCCACCGUUCUCUCCUUUCAACGAUUUCUCAGUAACCCUCGGCGGCGAACGUCUCGAAAUCUCCGGCGAACCUCUCGAAACCCUCGGCGGCCACGACCCUCUCCAUCUCCGACGAACCUCUUGAAGUAACCGGAUCGCAUCUCACACGCUCAUCUCCUCUCCGGCUCUCUCUCCUCUCCGGCUCUCUCUCCGUUUCUCCAGCUCGAUCUCCUCUCCGGCUCUCUCUCUCUCCGUUUCUCCGGCUCGAUCUCCUCUCCGGCUCUCUCUCCGUUUCUCCGGCUCGAUCUCUUCUCCGGCUCUCUCUCCGUUUCUCCGGCUCGAUCUCCUCUCCGGCUCUCUCUCCGUUUCUCCGGCUCUCUCUCCGUUUCUCAAAUUCCAACAACACUGAAGAUGGAGAAAGCUUGUAACCCAUUCCUCCGCAGUUCGAAUACAGAUAUUCGUCGAGCUUUAGGUAUUUCAGAGACUGCAGAUGAAGCAGAAGCUUUGGCUAUUAUCCGAGAAGCAAAGGAUAAUUUCAAAGCUUAGGCUUUUUCUCCUGAGGCAAUUCUUUGGUUUGCAUCUGUUUCCUCCGACAAAAACAAAAAGACAGAGAGA